UACGUAGGGUGCAAGCGUUGUCCGGAAUUAUUGGGCGUAAAGAGCUCGUAGGUGGCCUGUCGCGUCGGCUGUGAAAACUCGGGGCUCAACUCCGAGCUUGCAGUCGAUACGGGCAGGCUAGAGUUCGGCAGGGGAGACUGGAAUUCCUGGUGUAGCGGUGAAAUGCGCAGAUAUCAGGAGGAACACCGGUGGCGAAGACGGGUCUCUGGGCCGAUACUGACACUGAGGAGCGAAAGCGUGGGGAGCGAACAGG
rnacentral:rRNA from 1 species